rnacentral:lncRNA from 1 species
UUCUUGCUUGUAUCUCUAUUAUGCAAUUCAUGUAGGGAACUUGUGGGGAAUGCUUUGGGUUGUCGUAUGCAAUUCAUCCAAUCCAAUAACUUAAGGAAAAUCUGAGGGUUAAUUAGUGCAAUUCACGGUUAAUCUGGGGUGUUGGGAAUUCAUGGUUUAUCGAAAAGCAAUUGGAAAUCGUUUUGUAUGCAAGUGUGACAUGUGUGGAGAAGAACCCCUUAGCUAGCUUUCCAUCCAUUCACUUUUCUCAAAUUCAUUUUAGAAUCUGUUCAAUUUACAAGUUUUGUUUUUGUUUUCAAUUUUCGUCAAAACCAAUUCCCCAUUUAUUUUAAAGUGUUAGAUUAAGUAGAAAUUAAUUUAGUUUGUGUUUUUAAGGGUUUUGAGUCAAGUUAUAACCCAAUUUGGUCCAAUUUAGUGUUAGGUGUCAAAACUGCCCAGAAAGUGUUUUUAAGGCAGUUUUGAGUCUUUGUUUGCUGUUUUGAGUCUUUUGGUUUGUUUUGGUGUUUUAAAGUUUAGUUUUGCAUUCUUUGAGUCUACUUUAGUGUUUUAAACUUGUUUUUACGUAUUUGAGUCAGUUUUCAAGUGAUUUAGCAAUCCCUCCUAAUCCCCUGUCUAGAACGAUCCCUACUUACAUACUUUGCUACAAUUAAUAAAAAGAGGAUUUAAUUUGUGUGCUUAUAUAUUUCGCAUCAGACAUACCCCUCCAUGUCGUGGGCCCUAUUCAAGCUUAAAUGGAGGUAUCGUCCGGCUGGUGAUAGGAGCAUAUUUAUGCGCCUUAGUUUAGCUUGAUCUUGUGCAUUUAUAGUGUUUUUCCUUAGUAAAGUAGUCUUUUAAGCUAGUUUUAUGUGUUUUCAGGUUUUAAGGGCAAAAUAUGAAAAAGGAUGCUUUUUGGAGCCUUUUGGAGCAAAGUUGAGCUUGGAAUGGAUGUCAUAUGCUUGGAGCCAAGAGGAUGGACGAAAUUGAAGAUUUGAAGAUGAUGUUUCCUACUUGAACAAGGUUUCCUAGUCGAAGUAGGAAAGCGCCUAAGUGAAGAUGGAAUCCUAGUUGAAUUAGGAUUCCUAGUCAAAAUGGGUUUCCUAGUUGAAUUAGGAUUCCUUGAAGAUGAAGAUUCCUAUGCAAACAAGGUUUCCUACUUGAUGUAGGAAAGUCAAAAUCCAAAUGGUCUCAAGUGAAGCAACAAAGAAGUUUUCCAAGUCCAAGAAGGAAAAGGAGUCCAAGUUGAAGAAGGAAUGACAAAGACAAGGUUUCCUAAUCCUAAUAGGCAAAGUUUCCAAGUGCAAUGAGGAAUCCUUAUCCAUUUAGGGCACCUUAUCCAUUUAGGAUACCUCAUCCUUGUUCUAGAAACCUUAUCCAUCCUUGCCGUGAGUUUUCCUUGCAUUAGAGGGUUUCUAGAAGCCCUAAUCUGCUCCAUCCUUUAGUGCCGCACCCUAGGCCUUCUAGAUACCCUAAUUCCUUGCCUUGCAAGGCAUUCUAGAAACCUUAUCACCUUAUCCCAUUGCUGCCGCACCCUUAUCCUUUUCCUUUGCAAAAUCUGAUUGUUUAAACCUAUUUCCUUGUGGAUUUGGGUUAUCCAAGUCCAUAUCUGAUUACCCUAGGGUUUUAAGUGCCUAUAUAUACUCAUAUUAAUCCCUAGAUCAGAUCACCACCUCUCAUACAUAACCAUUCACGCCAGAAAUUAAACCUUGAUUUCUGCCGCACCCUUCUACCACCAUUCUCCCAAAUAUCUGCCUAAAAACAACCCUAGCCGCACCACCCAUCAACCCAAAAGCCUUCCCUACCAUUCCCCAUCCAUUCAACACCACAAAUAACCCCAAAGAACUUGUCUAAAGUUCUCUGCCGCAGCAAGGAGGAAGGAGGAUUCUUGGAUGCACUUGCUGCCACGUUGGAGCAUUCUAGGUGUUUUCUUUCCUUUGAUUUUAAUGUCUAAAUUUAUGUAUCUUUCCUUUGCGAGUAUGAGGAACUAAACCCCCCUUGGCUACGGGGGGAUUCGAAAUACAUGUUUAUGCUUGCAAUAUGAUUUGAUUACUUCUAAUUGCGUUUCAUAAGUUGUGAAUUCAAUUUACUUAUCUAUGUGAAUUACAUUGAUUUGUGUGUGUUGGUUGAGAGUGCACGCUUAAUUAUCAUGCAUAAAUUGAAUGCUAGGAUAUAAGGAAAUUUCACCUAAUCGUUAUGGACUUAUAUUCACAAGUAGUAAAGGUUGAUGAUCUCAAUCGCGUUAAGUAAAUUCUUGGCAUAAGUUUCAUGCAAUCAUAGUAACAAGUGCUUCGUCAAUGCUUAUGGUUUUCAUAGAACUUAAUGAUUCUUGCUUGUAUCUCUAUUAUGCAAUCAUGUAGGGGACUUGUGGGGAAUGCUUUGGGUUGUCGUAUGCAAUCAUCCAAUUCAAUAACGUUAGGAAAAUCUGAAGGUUAAUUUAAGCGGACCUAAUUAACUUGGGGCGUUGAGAAUUCAUGGGUUAUUGAAAAGCAAUUGGAAAUCGUUUUGAAUGCAAGUAUAACAUGUAUGGAGAUGAACCCCUUAGCUAGCCUUCCAUCCAUUCAUUUAAAUCAAAUUCGUUUUUAAAAUCUGUCUAGUUUACAAAGUUUGUUUUGUUUUCAAAUUCGUCCAAAAUCAAUCCCCCUUUUCUUUGUUGAGUCAUAUUAGUUAGAAGUCAAGUAGUUUGUGUUUUUAAGUGUUUUGAGUCAAGUUAAAAACUAAUUUCGUCCAAGUUUGUGUCUAGUGCUCAAAACUGCCCAGAUUGUGUUUUUAAGGCAGUUUUGAGUGUUUUGGGGCAGUUUUGAGUCUUUUGGUUUGUUUUAGUGUUUUAAAGUUUAGUUUUGCAUUCUUUGAGUCUAGUUUAGUGUUUUAAACUUGUUUUUACGUAUUUGAGUCAGUUUUCAAGUGAUUUUGCAAUCCCUCCUAAUCCCCGGCCUAGAACGAUCCCUACUUACAUACUUACUACAAUUGAUAAAAAGAGGGUUGAUUUGAGUGCUAGUUAAUUUUCACAUCAAAUUUUGGCGCCGUUGCCGGGGAUUAGCAAUUUUGCUAAUCCCUUGGAUUGUUAUUUUCGUUUUUCUUAUUGAUCAGAUUCUUAUGUUAUUUUGUUUCUUGUUUUAGGUACUUGUUUAUGACUCGGAGUUCUAAUCCGGUUCACGAACAUAUUUUAGACUUUGACGACGAUUUUGAGCGUGAGUUGAGACGAAAGAGGAAGAACCCGGAACCUAGUGAAUCAAGUGCAAGUUCCGAGUCCGUUUCUGAAUUUGAAGAGGAAGUGGAAGACAUGGCAGCGGACAACCGAACGAUCAAGGAGCUUUCCGCUUCGGGAUUGGAUAAUGCCGCACCCCUAUGUAUCCAAUACCCUAGGGCGGCUCCGGACAAAACUGCCGAGUUCGACUUGAAGUCAAGCUUGUUACAUCACAUUCCGAAGUACCAUGGGCUGUCCAUGGAAGAUCCGAACAAGCAUUUGAAGGAGUUUGAAGUCGUUUGCUCAAGCAUGACUCCGGUGAACGUGGAUGAGAGCAUCUUGAAGAUGAAGGCCUUUCCCUUUUCUCUCCAAGAGAAGGCGAAAGAUUGGUUGUACGAAUUGGCUCCCGGAACUGUCACAUCAUGGGAGAGCAUGAAACGAGCUUACUUGGAGAAGUUUUUCCCAACUUCUCGAGUCAUCCUCCUACGAAAAAGGAUAAGUGGAAUUCAACAAGAUGAAGGUGAGUCGUUUCCUACAUAUUAUGAACGUUUUAAAUCUCUUGUUGCUUCAUGUCCACAGCAUCAAAUGAAAGAGGAACUACUUCUACAAUACUUCUAGGAGGGACUUUUACCAAUUGAACGUCAAAUGCUAGAUGCCUCAGCGGGAGGAGCAUUGGUGGAAAGGACCCCUACGGCUGCAAAGAUGUUGAUUGCUAAUCGAGCGUUGAACGCUCAACAAUACGAAGGUGUUGGCCAAAGGAGCAUGCCACGGCAACAUCAAGUCAAUGAGGUAAGUACCAUAACCGAACUUCAAAAUCAAAUGGCUAACCUUACUACGUUGCUUUCUCAGGUGAUGGAAGGUCGAAAAGUCAAACUCGUAGCUUCUUGUGGCGUAUGCUCCAUGCCAAACCACCAUACGGACAAGUGCCCACAAUUGAUCGAGAAUGGAGGGUGGGAGACACUCAAUGCCGUGGGAUAUGGCAACCAAUACCAAUCACCUGGUGAUCCGUUUUCCAAUACUUACAAUCCCGGUUGGCGUGAUCAUCCGAAUUUCAAAUGGCGAGACCUCUAACAAGGCCAACAACAAGACGGAUUUAGGCAACAACCCCCAGGUUUCUAUCAAAAGUCGUUGGCACCACCACAAGCCCAAGAACAACCUGCCCAAAGCAAUGCAGGUAAUUCAAGUGAUAAUGAUAAGAUUUUCAAUUACUUACUACUUUGAUGCAGGAAGUCCAAACUCAAAACAAAGAGAGGCAAAUCCAAGACAAGAGGGUGGACAACUUGGAGAAGCAAGUGGGACAAAUUGCCGAGUUCAUGGGGCAAUUUCGUGAGCAAGGAAGGUUGCCUAGUUCAACGGUUGUCAAUCCGAGGGGAGGAGUCGAAACUGCCAAGGCCAUCAUGCUAAGAAGCGGAAAAGAAGUAGGAACCGAGCCAAAACCAUCCAAAUCUGCCCUCAAGGAGGACGAGAAGUUGCAAAUAGAAGAGGAGGAGCAAGCAAAACCCACGGCAGGGAUUGAGCAAUCCUUGCCGCAACCACCCAGGCCAUCAAAUUCGGCCAAUAAGGGUAAGACAUGUACAAUUCAAGUUAAUUCUAAUGUUAUUCCUCCGGAUGUACCAUUUCCUAGCAGAUUUUUGCAAGCCAAGAACGAAGAAGAGGAACAAUACGUUCUUGAGACGUUUAGAAAGGUGCAUGUCAAUAUCCCUCUCCUCGAUGCUAUAAAGCAAAUCCUGAAGUAUGCCAAGUUUUUUAAGAAGCUUUGUACAACAAGGAAACGGAUUCGGGAGAAAGAGGUGGUACACGUAAGCGCGAGAAUGUAUCUGCAUUGUUGCAAAGAAAGUUACCACCUAAAUGCAAAGACCCAGGUAGUUUCACUAUCCCUUGUGUUAUUGGCAAUACGAGGUUUGAUCAUGCUAUGUUAGAUUUAGGUGCAUCUAUAAAUGUCAUGCCAUAUUCUGUUUAUGCAUCUAUGAAUCUAGGGAAGCUUAAAAAUGAUGGUGUUAUUAUUCAAUUAGCCGAUCGAUCUAAUGCAUAUCCCAAAGGAGUGUUAGAAGAUGUGUUGGUGCAGGUAGACCACUUGAUUUUUCCUGCAGAUUUCUAUGUGCUUGAUAUGGAGGACUCAACCCACUCUCCACCAUCACCACUCUUACUUGGACGACCAUUCAUGAAAAUGGCGCAAACCAAGAUUGACGUGGCCAAGGGAGCAGUAACUAUGGCCUUUGGUGGUGAUAUGAUUAACUUUAAGAUUUCUGAAUCGGUUGAGAAUACUAAUGAUGCUCGUUCUUGUUGUGCUAUUAAUGUAAUUGAAAAUAUAGGGAAGGAAUGUUCAACACUAGUCAACAAGAAUGUAUCACAACCCACCAUCGAGGAAGGAAUUGGAGUGAACAACAAAGAGUGCACGGCCCCAACCUUGAAAUCACCAAAUCUGGUCGAGUGCACCCCUUGUGCAUAUGUCCAUAGUGCUACCACUUCUUUGCCGUACAAAGGUAAGCCACCUAUUCCAAAUUCGAUUCCCAUUUCAACUAAUAGGUUGUUACCUUGUAUGGUGCAGGUACCUAAUCGAAGACAACGUGGUGGGAGAGUUCGUGUUGAUUUAGAGAAGCAAAACAUGACAAUAAGAAAGGAUCAUUAUCCCAUCCCAUUCAAGGACCUAAAGAAUGAAGUAUUUCGUAGGACAGGUUGUGGAAACACCCCUCCAUGUCGUGGGGUUCCAUAAACCUUCAAUGGAGCAUCGUCCGGCUGCAAGACGUUAAAGAAAGCGCUUCUUGGAGGCAACCCAUGCAUUCAACAAAGGAAGACCUAGAGAGCACUCCAAUUCCAGAUUUGCGUUCCUAAACCCUUCUCUUUGUUGUUAUUUCGUUUCUGCCAUGUUAGGUUGUUUAGUUGCUGUUUUGUGUGUUUGUUUGUUAUUUGUGUUAGUUUAUGCUUGAAACAUUGAGGACAAUGUUUGAUUUAAGUGUGGGGGGGUAACCAAAGUGUUUUCAUACAAAUUCGUAGGGUUUUAUCACCCAUAAUUUCAAAUGUUGUUCCUUGCUGUUUUUAGGCUGUUUUGGUGUGUUUUAGUGUGUUUUGAUUCAAAAAUCCGAAAAUCCCAUAAAAAUUUGAAAAAUUUGUUUUGAAAAACCCAAAAAGAGUCAUUUUAAAGUUGUUUUGUGUGAUUGUUUGUGUCUUAGGGUACCUUCCAACACAAUGAUGAGGAUUCGGUUUGUAAUUACAUGACGGUUAAAGAGAGUUAUAAACAUGGAUAAAACUUUGAUUUACUCUUUGGUUUAUGCUUGGUUGUGGUUAUAACUUAUGAAUUCACAUGUAAUCAUAAAGAAAAAAUUAGUUUUUGUAACAUGCUUGAAGGAAGGAACUCAAACAAACGCUACAACCUUGUGAGACUUGAGCCUAAACGUUUAUUUGGAGAGUUAAAAUCUGUGCAUUCUUUGUUUUCUAAAGUCGUUGCAUGAUCUCAUUAUUCUUUGCUUGGUUGCUACUUAGAAGGCGUUUCAUCACUUAGAACCAAACACUAGAACUCAUGCCCAUUUCAUUCAAAACAUGUCAUUGAUUUGCAUAACACACAUUCAAGAUUAAGUUGUGUAGUGUCCACCAUAUCCCUAUUCCAUUAUGUUUUGUAGGUGUUAAUCCCGUUGAGCCUCGUUUAGCCUAUUUUUCUUGUUAACCACAUUAGCCUUACCUAGCCUAGAUUAGGACCAUCCAUACCCUUGUUCUUAAAGCAUAGUAAAGCAUGACUUAAGAUGAAUUCCUUUUGAUCAAUGUGUGCAGGAAAACAAGUGUGGGGGAAGGAUUAGUGAUAUGGGGAUGUGCCAAAGUCUUGAAUGAGGCACGGCAAAGAAGAGAAAAAAAAAUGAGAAAAGAAAGAAAAAAUUCGUGAAAAAUAGAAAGAAAAAAAGAAAAGUUGUGAAAAACAUGCAAAAUAGUUGAAAUGCAUGUGAAAAAGAGUUCCAAAGUGUUGGUUGUUGAAGAAAGGGUCCAAAAGUUGAAUUCGGCCCUAAGUGAUUGUUUGAAUCUUCCCUUUGUUUUAAAAGUUGAUUUCGGCAUGCUAAAGUGAAUUCUAAGUUUCGAUUUCAUUACUUUGCUUACUAUUGUUUUAAAGAACGUUUGUUUUCCAUAUCCUUUCUUUGUUAGCCAAUACCUUAAGCCCCGUUACAACCCUUGACUUUAAUCUUGAGUGUUGUGUAUUUCAAUUUGUGGAGUUUGGAAUGGGUAUGAGCAUACGGUGUCACUGGUUCUCGCAUCUAAGUAGUAGCAUUCCAUUCAUGAGAUCAUACUUAUAAACAUGUCAUUAACUCCAGAAAUUGCUUUCUUUGUUAUACAUAUAUGUGAGCGUUCGUUUUCAUAUUUACAUCAAUCUUCUCACAUAUAACUAGUAUAGGGUGUGUAGUUAGAAAAUCGGUGUGAAAAUAGAGUGCAUAUCUAGUAAGGAAUUGAGGGAUUCUCUAAGGCAUGUUACUACGUUCAAAACAUCGUUUUAAUUGAUUAUUUGUGAACUAGUGAAGUGGUGACUAUGAUUAAGUAUGUGCUUAAGCGUAAAGAUGGCUAAAAUCUGUGGGAAUGAUGAUUUUUAACAUGUCAUGUGCAUUGGAAAUCCCUGAGGCGAUUGUUGGAAGGUUUAGGUUGUGUUUUACUUGUUUUAUUUCGUUUUGUUUACUUUGUUUCAUUUUGUUUUGCUCGAGGACUAGCAAAAGCUAAGUGUGGGGGAAUUUGAUAGGAGCAUAUUUAUGCGCCUUAGUUUAGCUUGUUCUUGUGCAUUUAUAGUGUUUUUCCUUAGUAAAGUAGUCUUUUAAGCUAGUUUUAUGUGUUUUCAGGUUCUAAGGGCAAAAUAUGAAAAAGGAUGCAUUUUGGAGCCUUUUGGAGCAAAGUUGAGCUUGGAAUGGAUGUCAUAUGCUUGGAGCCAAGAGGAUGGACGAAAUUGAAGAUUUGAAGAUGAUGUUUCCUACUUGAACAAGGUUUCCUAGUCGAAGUAGGAAAGCGCCUAAGUGAAGAUGGAAUCCUAGUUGAAUUAGGAUUCCUAGUCAAAAUGGGUUUCCUAGUUGAAUUAGGAUUCCUUGAAGAUGAAGAUUCCUAUGCAAACAAGGUUUCCUACUUGAUGUAGGAAAGUCAAAAUCCAAAUGGUCUCAAGUGAAGCAACAAAGAAGUUUUCCAAGUCCAAGAAGGAAAAGGAGUCCAAGAUGAAGAAGGAAUGACAAAGACAAGGUUUCCUAAUCCUAAUAGGCAAAGUUUCCAAGUGCAAUGAGGAUUCCUUAUCCAUUUAGGGCACCUUAUCCAUUUAGGAUACCUCAUCCUUGUUCUAGAAACCUUAUCCAUCCUUGCCGUGAGUUUUCCUUGCAUUAGAGGGUUUCUAGAAGCCCUAAUCUGCCCCAUCCUUUAGUGCCGCACCCUAGGCCUUCUAGAUACCCUAAUUCCUUGCCUUGCAAGGCAUUCUAGAAACCUUAUCACCUUAUCCCAUUGCUGCCGCACCCUUAUCCCUUUUCCUUUGCAAAAUCUGAUUGUUUAAACCUAUUUCCUUGUGGAUUUGCGUUAUCCAAGUCCAUAUCUGAUUACCCUAGGGUUUUAAGUGCCUAUAUAUACUCAUAUUAACCCCUAGAUCAGAUCACCACCUCUCAUACAUAACCAUUCACGCCAGAAAUUAAACCUUGAUUUCUGCCACACCCAUCUACCACCAUUCUCCCAAAUUUCUGCCUAAAAACAACCCUAGCCACACCACCCAUCCCUAAAGCCUUCCCUACCAUUCCCCAUCCAUUCUACACCACAAAUAACCCCAAAGAACCUGUCUAAAGUUCUCUGCCGCAGCAAGGAGGAAGGAGGAUUCUUGGAUGCACUUGCUGCCACGUUGGAGCAUUCUAGGUGUUUUCUUUCCUUUGAUUUUAAUGUCUAAAUUUAUGUAUCUUUGCUUUGCGAGUAUGAGGAACUAAACCCCCCUUGGCUAGGGGGGGAUUCGAAAUACAUGUUUAUGCUUGCAAUAUGAUUUGAUUACUUCUAAUUGCGUUUCAUAAGUUGUGAAUUCAAUUUACUUAUCUAUGUGAAUUACAUUGAUUUGUGUGUGUUGGUUGAGAGUGCACGCUUAAUUAUCAUGCAUAAAUUGAAUGCUAGGAUAUAAGGAAAUUUCACCUAAUCGUUAUGGAACUUAUAUUCACAAGUAGUAAAGGUUGAUGAUCUCAAAUCGCGUUAAGUAAAUUCUUGGCAUAAGUUUCAUGCAAUCAUAGUAACAAGUGCUUCGUCAAUGCUUAUGGUUUUCAUAGAACUUAAUGAUUCUUGCUUGUAUCUCUAUUAUGCAAUCAUGUAGGGGACUUGUGGGGAAUGCUUUGGGUUGUCGUAUGCAAUCAUCCAAUUCAAUAACGUUAGGAAAAUCUGAAAGUUAAUUUAAGCGGACCUAAUUAACUUGGGGCGUUGAGAAUUCAUGGGUUAUUGAAAAGCAAUUGGAAAUCGUUUUGAAUGCAAGUAUAACAUGUGUGGAGAUGAACCCCUUAGCUAGCCUUCCAUCCAUUCAUUUAAAUCAAAUUCGUUUUAAAAUCUGUCUAGUUUACAAAGUUUGUUUUUUUUUCAAAUUCGUCCAAAAUCAAUCCCCCUUUUCUUUGUUGAGUCAUAUUAGUUAGAAGUCAAGUUAGUUUGUGUUUUUAAGUGUUUUGAGUCAAGUUAAAACCUAAUUUCGUCCAAGUUUGUGUCUAGUGUUCAAAACUGCCCAGAUUGUGUUUUUAAGGCAGUUUUGAGUGUUUUGGGGCAGUUUUGAGUCUUUUGGUUUGUUUUAGUGUUUUAAAGUUUAGUUUUGCAUUCUUUGAGUCUAGUUUAGUGUUUUAAACUUGUUUUUACGUAUUUGAGUCAGUUUUCAAGUGAUUUUGCAAUCCCUCCUAAUCCCCGGCCUAGAACGAUCCCUACUUACAUACUUACUACAAUUGAUAAAAAAAGGGUUAAUUUGAGUGCUAGUUAAUUUUCACAUCAGCUGGAAGACGUUAAAGCAAGCGCUUCUUGGGAGGCAACCCAUGUACUCAAAUAAGGAAGAUUUUUUAAUUGCUCCACGAUUGAGUUUGCGUUCCUAAAAACCUUCCCUUUUCUGCAGUUUUAUGUUGCCAUGAUUGUCAUUUUUAUUUGUUGCUUGUUUAAUUGUUUUUGGUGUGGGUUUAUUUUUGAAACAUUGAUAGAUAUGCAAGGUAUUUUUACAUUCAUUUUCAUGAAAAAAAGAAGAACAUUAAGCAGAAAAUAAAAGAGGAAACCUUCACAAAGGCUGCUUAGAAGAAGUCUCAAUAGUCGGCGGAGCCCCAGAAGGAGAAGGCAUCGGAGGUUGAUCAUUUGGAGCUUCACCUACGCGGUAUAGCCCUAGAAGACGAAGGCAAAUGCUGUUGGAACAAACUCACAAACCUCUGAUGAUCAAGUAAAAUCUGACCAUCAGAUUCCUGCAUAUGGUCAAUCUUUCUCUUCAUGUUGGUAGCAUAGUUAUGUGCGAGCUUGUGCAACUGUUUAUUCUCAUGCUUGAGCCUUCUAAUCUCCUGUUUAAGACUCAUCACUUCAGCUACUAAUGAUUCAACUUGAUGGGUUCAAGCAAAUAGAUGUUGGGCCAUAUUAGACACAGAACCUGCACACUGCACACUAAGAGCCAGAGAAUCCUUAACAGCCAACUCAUCAAACCAUUUGGAAAGCAGUUUGUUAUCUUUGGGAGUGACAAGGUUCCGGGCCACCACCGCAUCAGUCAUAUCAUUCUUCAUCACCGAAUCCCCAACGGUAAGAGGACCAGUAGGGGAUAUGAAGGAUGGGCGCCAUAUGUUAUCUGGAGAAGGCAUUGUUGGAAAUGUGCCGUAAAACCAAUCAUAUGAUGAUACUUUACGGACAUUUCACAAAGUUAAACUAAUGUAGUUUAAAUAUAAAGGGCUAAGAUUAUUGUUUGAGCCGUCUCAUAUAAAUGUUAUAUGCUUAAACGAUAAGUCCAAGGAAUAUGUGAUUGGGAGAAUGCAAUCUAAAGAAGUUAGAUUCAUGAGACCAUUCUUUCGUAAACACAUCCUAAACGUUCCUGAUCAUAGGAUUGCCAAUUGGGCAUUGACAGUCCGUUAAGAUCAGUACGUGCUGUGUCUUCUCUCAGGGAGAGUGACUAGUUUCGAGUCAUUGGUGUGUGUGACAUCAAGACAAGUAUGUAGGUGCUCAAUAGAGAAUGAGUUCACUGAACACGAUCAACGAAGAGUUCUCAUAUUCAUGUCACAUGAGAACUCAUGGUUGGGAUAAUGCAAAGUAGUCCUUUGACCUGAGGCAUCACAGUUGUCUUGUGGUUAAGUCCUUGAUCUUUGAUUAUGUCAAAGUCAUCCCAUCCGCGGGUGUCCACGGCAUCGUUGGGGUUAAGCCACUUAGCCAUGGAGGCAAUUGAAUGCGCAACAAGGGAUCUCUAACCUUCAAACCGUUUGGGGGAGAAUACUCUAUGAUAUGAUUGAAAAUCUCUGAUCAGAGUAUGAAUGAGAUUUAGGAAGGCGUUCCAAAUCACAUUCAAGGUAAUCAUAUAAGUAAACGAAUCACAUUAGAUAGUAGACAUGAAUAAACUAUCAAACCAAACAAUGUGGUCAAGAGUAUUGUAUUAGAUAAAGACCGUAUUGCAUUUGUAAUCCUAAACUGAAUAGGUUCUCCACCUCUUCUGAUUAGCUUGGGUAACCAUGAUAUGCUGCUAGGUGUCACUCAUGGUUUGUGGAAGCCCUAAACGUGUAUAAUCACUAAAGGCAGAAUUGAAAGUAAGUUUCAAUUCACAAUCGGUUUGAAAGAGUUCUAAUUGCCCACUGCCUUGCUAAAAGGAACCUAAUGGAUCGUACACCGUGUAAGGUAAAGAUUGAAGAAACAACGGAGAUGAGUAAGAAUAAUUAAAUGGUUUAAUUAUUUAUGGCAAGGAUUAAUUAAUAUGCUAAUUAAUCAAACGAAUAAGUUCGUUAAAAGACCACGGGUUAGUUUUGGGUCUCAAGGCCCAAUGGGCUUUGAACAUCAAGCCCAUUGACUUAAGUUGUAUGACAACUUAAUGACUAAUAAUUCACAAAGUGAUCGGAUCAUAUUUAUAUAUAUUUUUACUUCGAAUUCACUCAUCUUUUCUUAGUUAGUUCCUUAUAUUUUUGAGCUAUUUACGUUAUUUUUGUGUUUAUAGGAUUUGUUAUGCAAAGAAAAUAAAAAUAGCACAAAUGAGUUUUAAAUAAUAAACAGAAUAGUUACUUCGAACAUUAUGAUUUUUUUGUAGGUCAAUUAAUUUAGUUUAUUCAUUGCGAUUAUAAUUGAGUCAUUAUUUGUCUAUUUUCUGAUCGCCAACUUCAAGCAAAUUCUCUUGCUUGCAGAGUUCCUAAAGACGUGACCUGCCUAAGAAUUGUGGAAUGCAUUUCGGGAGUCAAUACUCGUAGUAAGCUGUUUAGAAGUGCAAUUGCCCAUCAGAUGCUUCUUAGCUGUUAUGAUCAUAAGCAAGUGUGGCUUUCCAACUAGACAACAAAAGGGAUCCAAGGAAGUGGAAGGCUGAGAGACAGCUAGGAGGCAGAAACGAAAAAUAUAAUAGAGCAGACGCGGGGGGGAGACAUAAAAAGGAUUGGGAGCUGCUGGGGCAGCUAAGAAAAAGGAAAUAAAAAAUAAAUAAAGAAACGGUGAAAAGAAUCCAAGGCAGUAGAGAGGUCAGAGUGCGUCAGAGAGGGAAGCAGGAAAGCUGCCUUUGGCAGCUGGAAAGAAAGCGGAAGAAAGGGGCUGCCCUUUGGGCAGCUCGCAGGAACGUGCAAAGAGCAGCGUGAAAAACCAGGAAGGCAGGCCAGCGAGGCGCAGUUCACACGGGGCGCGAAAGCAGCAGAUCACCUUCUUUCGGUUUAAUCUUUCCAAACUCCUAUUUUAUUUCUGUUUUUAAUAAUGUGUAAUUAAAUUUAUGUUGGUUAGAGGUUAAUUCGAAACCAUGAAUAUAUUUGUAAUAUGAAUUGAUUACCUUCGGUUGUGAUUUCAUAAGUUGUGAUUUCAAUUUACUUAUCCGUUCGUAUAAAAACUGAUUUGUGUAUGUUGGUUGAGAGUGCACGCUUAAUUUACAUGCAUGAAUUUGAUGCUAGAAUAUAAGUGAAUUUCACCUAAUCGUUAUGAACUUAUUUUCACAAGUAGUAAAGGUUGCUAGUCACAAUCACGUUAAGUAAAUUCUUGGCAAGAGUAUCAUGCUUUUCAUAGUUACGAAUGCCUCGUCAAUGCUUAUAGUUUUCACAAAGUUUAAUGAUCUUUGAUUGUAUCUCUAUUGUGCUUUUCACGUAGGGGACUUUUGAAGAAUGUUUUGAAUUGUUGUAUGCGUUUUCCCGUCCAAUUCAAUAACUUAAGGAAAAACUUGAAGAUUAAAAAAGUGCUGUUCACGGUUAAUCUGGAAGUAUUGAGAUUCACAAUUUAUUGAAAGAACAACUGAAAAUCAAUUUAGGUUGCAUAUGUGUCAUGUGUGGAGAAGAACCCUCUAGCUAGUCCGUCAUUUAUCAUUUCACCUUAAUUUCAUGUUUUUGUCAAUUCUGUAAUUUAAUUAAGUUUAAUUUACUUUUCAUCAAAACCAACCCCCCCCAUUAUUAAAUUAUAUUAUUUAGUUAGUUUUCAUUUAUUGUUAGUCUUUUAAUUUAAUUUCCGUCCAUUUCAGUUCCUAGUGUUAAUUUGAUUGUUUUCAUUAUUUUGAGUCAUUUUAAGUGUGUUUUCGAGUUAUUAGAGUUUUUAGCCUAGUUUUGUGUCCUUGAGUCUUGUUUAAUAUUUUUUAAAUUAAUUUUUUAGAAUAGAUUAGCAAUCCCUCCUAAUCCCCGGCCUAGAACGAUACCCUACUUACAUCUAUACUACAAUUGUCAAAAAGAGGGUUUAAUUUUGUGUGUCAAGUUAUUUUCGCAUCAAAUUUUGGCGCCGUUGCCGGGGAUUAGCAACUUUGCUAAUCCUUUUAUUUUUGUUUUUGUUUAUGUUUAUAUUGGUGUUUGUGUAUUUUACUUUUGAUAUUUGAUUUAUUUUUCUUUCUUUGAUUUUAGGUUCAAAUGGAGCCGAGGGAAAUUUAAAGGAAAGAUGCGUCCGGCUAAAGACGUUAAAUCAAGCGCUUCUUGGAGGCAACCCAAGCAUUCAACGAAGGGAGACUUUGGAAUCGCUAACCCAAUCAGCUUUGCAUUCUUCCACCCUUAUCUUUACUGCUUUCAUUUUGUUUUGUUUAGUUAGUUGUGUUAUUUGGUUGAUUUCUGUGAGUUUGUGUUAUUUAGUUUAAGUGUGGGGGAAGGUUAACCAAAGUCUCUUUACAUUAAUUUACAUUUAAAAAGAAAAAAAAAAAAAAAAAAAAAAAAAUAAAAAAAAAAAAAAAAAAAAAAANNNNNNNNNNNNNNNNNNNNNNNNNNNNNNNNNNNNNNNNNNNNNNNNNNNNNNNNNNNNNNNNNNNNNNNNNNNNNNNNNNNNNNNNNNNNNNNNNNNNNNNNNNNNNNNNNNNNNNNNNNNNNNNNNNNNNNNNNNNNNNNNNNNNNNNNNNNNNNNNNNNNNNNNNNNNNNNNNNNNNNNNNNNNNNNNNNNNNNNNNNNNNNNNNNNNNNNNNNNNNNNNNNNNNNNNNNNNNNNNNNNNNNNNNNNNNNNNNNNNNNNNNNNNNNNNNNNNNNNNNNNNNNNNNNNNNNNNNNNNNNNNNNNNNNNNNNNNNNNNNNNNNNNNNNNNNNNNNNNNNNNNNNNNNNNNNNNNNNNNNNNNNNNNNNNNNNNNNNNNNNNNNNNNNNNNNNNNNNNNNNNNNNNNNNNNNNNNNNNNNNNNNNNNNNNNNNNNNNNNNNNNNNNNNNNNNNNNNNNNNNNNNNNNNNNNNNNNNNNNNNNNNNNNNNNNNNNNNNNNNNNNNNNNNNNNNNNNNNNNNNNNNNNNNNNNNNNNNNNNNNNNNNNNNNNNNNNNNNNNNNNNNNNNNNNNNNNNNNNNNNNNNNNNNNNNNNNNNNNNNNNNNNNNNNNNNNNNNNNNNNNNNNNNNNNNNNNNNNNNNNNNNNNNNNNNNNNNNNNNNNNNNNNNNNNNNNNNNNNNNNNNNNNNNNNNNNNNNNNNNNNNNNNNNNNNNNNNNNNNNNNNNNNNNNNNNNNNNNNNNNNNNNNNNNNNNNNNNNNNNNNNNNNNNNNNNNNNNNNNNNNNNNNNNNNNNNNNNNNNNNNNNNNNNNNNNNNNNNNNNNNNNNNNNNNNNNNNNNNNNNNNNNNNNNNNNNNNNNNNNNNNNNNNNNNNNNNNNNNNNNNNNNNNNNNNNNNNNNNNNNNNNNNNNNNNNNNNNNNNNNNNNNNNNNNNNNNNNNNNNNNNNNNNNNNNNNNNNNNNNNNNNNNNNNNNNNNNNNNNNNNNNNNNNNNNNNNNNNNNNNNNNNNNNNNNNNNNNNNNNNNNNNNNNNNNNNNNNNNNNNNNNNNNNNNNNNNNNNNNNNNNNNNNNNNNNNNNNNNNNNNNNNNNNNNNNNNNNNNNNNNNNNNNNNNNNNNNNNNNNNNNNNNNNNNNNNNNNNNNNNNNNNNNNNNNNNNNNNNNNNNNNNNNNNNNNNNNNNNNNNNNNNNNNNNNNNNNNNNNNNNNNNNNNNNNNNNNNNNNNNNNNNNNNNNNNNNNNNNNNNNNNNNNNNNNNNNNNNNNNNNNNNNNNNNNNNNNNNNNNNNNNNNNNNNNNNNNNNNNNNNNNNNNNNNNNNNNNNNNNNNNNNNNNNNNNNNNNNNNNNNNNNNNNNNNNNNNNNNNNNNNNNNNNNNNNNNNNNNNNNNNNNNNNNNNNNNNNNNNNNNNNNNNNNNNNNNNNNNNNNNNNNNNNNNNNNNNNNNNNNNNNNNNNNNNNNNNNNNNNNNNNNNNNNNNNNNNNNNNNNNNNNNNNNNNNNNNNNNNNNNNNNNNNNNNNNNNNNNNNNNNNNNNNNNNNNNNNNNNNNNNNNNNNNNNNNNNNNNNNNNNNNNNNNNNNNNNNNNNNNNNNNNNNNNNNNNNNNNNNNNNNNNNNNNNNNNNNNNNNNNNNNNNNNNNNNNNNNNNNNNNNNNNNNNNNNNNNNNNNNNNNNNNNNNNNNNNNNNNNNNNNNNNNNNNNNNNNNNNNNNNNNNNNNNNNNNNNNNNNNNNNNNNNNNNNNNNNNNNNNNNNNNNNNNNNNNNNNNNNNNNNNNNNNNNNNNNNNNNNNNNNNNNNNNNNNNNNNNNNNNCUUCAGCAGUCGGCGGGGCCACGGAAGGAGGAGGCAGCAGAGGUUGAUCAGUUGGAGCUUCACUACGCGGUGCCGCUCCAGAAGACGAAGGCAGAUGCGGUUGGAACAAACCCACAAACCUCCGAUGAUCAAGUAAAAUUUGACCAUCGGUGUCCUGCAUCUGGUCAAUCUUCCUCUUCAUGCUGGUGGCAUAGCUGUGUGCGAGCUUGUGCAAUUCCUUAUUCUCAUGCUUGAGCCCUUUAAUCUCUUGCUUGAGACUCUGUAUUUCAGCCACCAAGGAUUCAACGUGACGGGUUCGGGCAUAUAGGCGUUGGGCCAUGUUGGAUACGGAACCCGCACACUGCACACUGAGAGCCAGAGACUCCUUGACCGCCAAUUCAUCAGACCGCCUUGCGAGCAGUCUGUUAUCUCUGGGAGUGACAAGGUUUCGGGCCACCACCGCAGCGGUCAUGUCAUUUUUCAUCAUCGAAUCCCCCACGGUAAGGGGACCGGUAGGGGAUAUGAAGGAUGGCCGCCAUAUGUUGUCUGGUGAAGGCGGAGCUGCCUCUUCACCAAUGUUCAAGUCAAAACGACGAUCAGAAGGGCCAGACAUUUUUCAGAGGUGGUAAAGAAAGAAGAGAGUCGGAAUGAUCAAGAUUAAACAAGUGCAAGAUGGGAGUGUUUACAGGAGGGUACUCAAGUAUGUUGUGGAACAAAAUUAACGCCUCUAUAAAAAGAAGAAAUCAAAGAGGCGCUCCUCAGAGAGGCGUCCUCUCGCAAAUCGAAGAGUCGGGGCUCCUUUCUCAAAAGCCGGAUUCUUUUCUCAAAAGAGGCGUUCAUUUCUUAAAAGUUGGGCUUGCUCAGAAACCACGAGCCGAACCCCGGAUUUCGCAAGAUCAAUUCGUCCAGACGUGUUGUCACCCGUCACACGCAAACUCAGCUCUGCGAAAAUCACGGGCAGUCUGUCGAAGUGCCGAUUCCAACCAUCUGUCUCUCUCAGCCUAGUCAGCACUUGUCACAUGCAACUGGCAGCUUUGCGGAAAUUACGGGCAGCUUUGUCAGAAAGCGCGUAAUUUGUAUUCUUCACCCAUCCACCGGCUGCCGACACUAAGUGAGAGAACAGUUCCGGUUGUGAAGACAAGUCCUAUAAGUUUCUACCUUCGCCUUCCACAGCAAAAGCACACUCUCUCAGCACACCCUCUCAACACCUCUUCAUCUCCGAAAAUGCAUUCCCAAAGAAUCCUCUCGAGUCACUCUGUGUUCCUCAUUCCUUGGGAUACUCCUGCGAACAACCCAUUCAAAGCAAAAGUAUUUCAUAUCAUAAAGGUUGAAAGCAAGAGUAUCUCAUAUCAUGCUUUCUCCAUGUCCUUCUCCUUGUCUUUGUUUUCCGACAAGCCUUCUUGGGAAAGCAUGAAACAGGCCUUCUUGGAGAAGUUUUUCCCAACUUCUCGAGUUAUUCUCUUACGAAAAAGGAUAAGUGGAAUUCAGCAAGAUGAAGGUGAAUCUUUUCCUACUUAUUAUGAACAUUUUAAAUCUCUUGUUGCUUCUUGUCCACAGCAUCAAAUGAAGGAGGAUCUUCUUCUACAAUACUUCUACGAGGGGCUUCUACCAAUCGAACGCCAAAUGCUAGAUGCCUCAACGGGAGGAGCCUUGGUGGACAAAACCCCCACGGCAGCAAAGACCUUGAUAGCUAAUCAAGCGUUGAACGCUCAACAAUACGAAGGUGUUGGACAAAGAAGCAACCCACGGCAACACCAAGUGAAUGAGGUAAGUGCCAUCUUCAAACUUCAAAAUCAAAUGGCUAACCUUACUACUCUCCUUUCUCAGGUUGUGGAAGGACCAAAAGUACAAAAUGUAAGUGCUUGUGGCGUGUGCUCUAUGCAAGGACACCUUACGGACAAGUGUCCACAAUUGAUAGAGAAUGGAGGGUGGGAGACCCUAAAUGCCGUGGAAUUUGGGCAACCAUACCAACAAAGAAAUGAUCCCUUUUCUAAUACAUACAAUCCGGGAUGGAGGGAUCAUCCAAAUUUCAAAUGGCGAGAACCCCAACAAUGCCAACAACAAAGCACAUUUAGGCAACAACCCCCGGGUUUCUAUCAAAGGCCGUUUGCACCAACUCAACCCCAAGCACAACCUGCCCAAAACAAAUCAGGUUCUUCUAUUAAUAAUGAUCAGAUUUUUCAAUUACUAACUUCUAUGGCGCAGAGUAUGCAAAUUAAGGACAAAAAGGUGGACGAGUUGGAGAAGCAAGUAGGGCAGAUUGCGGAGUUUGUGGGCCAAUUCUGAGAACAAGGAAAACUUCCUAGUUCAACUGUUGUAAAUCCGAAAGGAGGCUUUGAAUCUGCCAAGGCAAUCAUGCUAAGGAGUGGAAAAGAAGUUGGAACUAAUCCACAACCAUUUAAAUCAGCCCAAAAAGAGGACGAGAAGUUGACAUUCGAAGAGGAGAACCAAGCCAAGGCCACGGCAAGGAAGGAAGAACCCUUGCCGCAGCCUCCUACAUCCCAUAAUCAAUCCAAUCCAUCCAAAUCAGGUAAGAAAGUUCCAAUUCAAAUUAAUUCUAACGUUAUUCCGCCAAAUGUACCCUUCCCUAGCAGAUUUUUGCAAGCCAAGAACAAAGAGGAGGAAAAAGAUGUUCUGGAGAUGUUUAGAAAUGUGCAUGUCAAUAUCCCACUCCUUGAUGCUAUUAAGCAAAUUCCGAAGUAUGCCAAGUUUUUUAAGAAGCUUUGUACAACAAGGAAACGUAUUUGAGAGAAAGAAGUGGUACAUGUGAGCAAGAAUGUCUCUGCAAUGUUGCAAAGAAAGUUUCCACCUAAAUGCAAAGAUCCGAGUAGUUUCACAAUUCCUUGUGUAAUUGGUAAUACAAGAUUUGAGCAUGCUAUGCUAGAUUUAGGUGCAUCAAUUAAUGUCAUGCCAUAUUCUGUUUAUGCAUCUAUGAAUCUAGGAGAACUUAAAAAUGAUGGUGUGAUUAUUCAAUUAGCCAAUCGCUCUAAUGCAUAUCCAAAAGGAGUGUUGGAAGAUGUUUUGGUGCAGGUAGACCACUUGAUUUUUCGUGCAGAUUUCUAUGCGCUCAAUAUGGAGGAUUCAGGCCACUCUUCACCAUCACCGCUCUUAUUUGGACGACCUUUCAUGAAAACGGCUCAAACCAAGAUUGACGUGGCCAAGGGAGCAGUAACCAUGGCAUUUGGUGGUGAUAUGAUUAACUUUAAGAUUUCUGAAUCUAUUGAGAAGACUAAUGAUGUUCGUUCUUGUUGUGCUAUUGAUGUAAUUGAAAAUUUAGGGCAGGAAUGUUCAACGCUAAUCAAGAAAGAUGUUUCUUGCACCACAAUCAAAGAGGGACUUGGAUUAAAGCACAAGGAGCAUGUCCUAACCUCCAAAUCGCCAAAUCUAGCCGAGAAUCCUCCUUGUGCAUUUGUUCAAUGUGCUGCCACUUCAGUGCAGCACAUGGGUAAGCCAUCUUCUCCACUUUCAAUUCCCAUUUUGAAUAAUAGGUUGUUACCUUGUUUGGUGCAGGUACCUAGGUGCAUUCAAAGUGGUGGGAGAGUUCAUGUUGAUUUAGGGAAGCAAAGCACAAAAAUCAGGAAGGAUCAUUAUCCCCUUCCAUUCAAAGAUCUAAAGCAUGAAGUGGUUCGUAGGGCAGGUUGGAGAGGAAGCAUCCCUGCAUGCCGUGGGGUCCAAUGAAGCCUCAAAGGAGUAUUGUCCGGCUGCACGACGUUAAAGAAAACGCUUCUUGGGAGGCAACCCAUGCAUUCAACAAAGGAAGACCAAGGAAUCACUCCAAUUCCAGAUUUGCGUUCCUAAACCCUUCUCUUUGUUCUUUAUUUCGUUUCUGCCAUGUUUAUUAUGUUAGUUGCUGUUUGUUUGUUUAUUUGUUAUUUGUGUUAGUUUAUGCUUGAAACAUUGAGGACAAUGUUUGAUUUAAGUGUAGGGGGUAACCAAAGUGUUUUGAUGCAAAUUCAUGGGGUUGUAUCACCCAUAAUUUCCAAUGUUGUUCCUUGAUGUUUUUAGGUGUUUUUAGGCUGUUUUGAUGCUUUUUAGUGUGUUUUACAUAAAAAUCCGAAAAUCCCAGAAAAAAAUUGAAAAAUUGCUUUGAAAAACCAAAAAAGAGUUGUUUUAAAGUUGUUUUGUGUGUUUGUUUGUGUCUUAGGGUACGUUCCAACACAAUGACGAGGAUUCGGUUUUUAAUUGCAUGACUGUUAAAAAGAGUUGUAAACAUGGAUGAAAGUUUGAUUUACUCUUUGGUUUAUGCUUGGUUGUGGUUAUAACUUAUGAAUUCACAUGUAAUCAUAAAGAAAAAAUUAGUUUUUGUAACAUGCUUGAAGGAAGGAACUCAAACUAACGCUACAACCUUGUGAGACUUGAGCUUAAAUGUUUAUUUGGAGAGUUAAUAAUCUAUGCAUUGUUGUUUUCUAAAGUCGUUGUAUGAUCUCAUUAUUCUUUGCUUGGUUACUACUUAAAAGGCGUUUCAUCAUUUAGUUCCAAACACUAGAACUCAUGCCCAUUUCAUUCAAAGCAUGCUAUUGAGUUGCAUAACACAUAUUCAAGAUGAAGUUGUGUAGUGACCACCAUUUAAGUCAAAUUGCCGUGUCCCCCAUGUUCAUAUGUUUUGUAGGUUUUUAACCCCAUUGAACCUUGUUUAGCCUAUAUUGUUUGUUAACCCACAUUAUCCUCACCUAGCCUAGAUUAGGAUCAUCCAUACCCUUGUUCUUAAAGCAUAGUAAAGCAUGACUCAAGAUGAAUUCAUUUUGAUCAAUAUAUUGCAGAAAACAAGUGUGGGGGAAGGGAUUCUUGUGUGUGCGUGCCAAAGUCUUUAAUGAGGCAUGGGUUAGAAAAAAAAAAAAAAAAAAAAAAAAAAAAAAAAUUUCGUGGAAAAUAGAAAGAAAAAAAAAAGAAAAGUUAUGAAAAGUAUGAAAAAGAGUUGAAAAAGAUGUGAAGAUGAGCUCUUAAGUGUUGAUUGUUGAAGAAAGGGUCCAAAACACUGAAUUCGACCCUAAGUAUUGCAUGAAUCUUCCCUUUGUGUUUAAAAGUUGAUUUCUGCGCUCUAAAGUGAAUUCUAAGUUUCGUUUUCAUUGCUUUGCUUGCUAUUGCUUAAAGAACCUUUGUUAUCCCUAUCCGUUCUUUGUUAGCCAAUACCCCAAGCCCCGUUACAACCCUUGACUUUAAUCUUGAGUGUUGUGUGUUUCAAUUUGUGGAGUUUAGAAUUGGUAUGAGCAUAUGGUGUCACUGGUUCUCGCAUCUAAGAAGUAGCAUUCCAUUCAUGAGAUCAUAUCUAAAUGCUUAUUAACUCCAGAAAAUGCUUUCUUUGUUAUAUAUAUAUAUGUGAGCGUUCGUUUUUUAGGUCUACAUUAAUCUUCUCACAUAUAACUAGUAUAGGGUGUGUAGUUAGAAAAUCUGUGUGAAAAUUGAGUGCAUAUCUAGUAAGGAAUUGAGCAAAUUCUCUAAGGCAUGUUACUGCAUUCAAAAUCAUGUUUUAAUUGGUUAAAUGUGAACUAGUACGUGGUGACUAUGAUUAAGUAUGUGCUUAAGUGUGAAGAUGACUAAAAUCUGUGGGAUGAUGAUUUUUAAUAUGUCAUGUGCAUUGGAAAUCCCUGAGGUAAAUGUUGGAGGGUUUAGGUUUGUUUUGUUUCGUUUUGUUUUCUUUUGUUUCUUUGUUUUGCUCGAGGACUAGCAAAAGCUAAGUGUGGGGGAAUUUGAUAGGAGCAUAUUUAUGCGCCUUAGUUAGCUAGUUCUUAUGCAUUUUCGUGAUGUUUUCUUAGUUAAAGUAGUCUUUUAAGCUAGUUUCAUGUGUUUUCAGGUUUUAAGGGCAUAUUACAUAAAAAGAUGCAAUUGGAGCUUUUUGGAGCAAAAGUGAGCUUGGAUUGAAUAGCACAUGCUUGGAACACAAGGUUGGGACAAAAUUGAAGUUUUGAGGAGUCCUAGUCCAAGAAGGAUUCCUAGUCCAAGGAGGAGUCCUAAUUGAAGAAGGAUUCCUAAUCAACGAGGGAUUCCUAAAAGAAUGAAGAUUCCUACUCAAUCAAGGUUUCCUACUUGAAGUAGGAAAGUUAAGCCUAAAAGUUUCUACUUUGAGUUGAUCUUUCCUAAACCUAGAUGGCCUUAUGUUUUAGCAACAUUAGGAGGUUUCUAAGCGUUGGAAGACACAAAGAAAGGUUUUAGAACAUUUUCUCAUCUUUGCCGUGGGUUAGGCCUUAUGUUCUCUUGGUUUUGGGCUUUCUAGAAGCCCUAUCCUUAUUCCUAAAUCCAUGCCGCACCUAUACCUGAUCUAGAACCUUUUGCCUUGCCUUGCAAGGCAUUCUAGAAGCCUUAUCCUCCUUAUCCCUUAUCUGCGGCACCUUUUGGCCUUUUCCCUUGAAAAUUCUGAUUGUUUAAACCUUUUUCCUUGUGGAUUUGGGUUAUCCAAGUCCAUAUCUGAUUACCCUAGGGUUUUAAGUGCCUAUAUAUAUGAAUUUCCACCUCUCAUACACAACAAUUCACGCCAGAAAUUCAUCCCCUACCUUUGCCGCAGCCUUCCACCACCAUUCUCCCAAAUUUCUGCCAAAAAUCACCCCUUGCCGCACCACCCAUCCAUCCUAAACACCACCCUACAUCCCCCAUCCAUUCUACACCAUUUAAUAACCCAAAAACCUAUCCCCAAGUCUCUAUGCCGCAACAAGGAGGAAUGAGGGAUCGUGGAUGCACCUGCUGCGAAGUUGGAGCAUUUUAGGUGUUCUCUUUCUUUGGAUUUCAAUGUUUAAACUUAUUUAUCUUUGCUUUGUGCGUAUGAGGAACUAAAACCCCCUUUGCUAGGGGGGGGAUUCGAAACCAUGUUUAUGCUUGCUAUAUGAUUUGAUUACUUCUAAUUGCGUUUCAUAAGUUAUGGAUUCAAUUUGCUUAUCUAUUCGAAUUAAACUGAUUUGUGUGUGUUGGUUGAGAGUGCACGCUUAAUUUUCAUGCAUAAAUCUAAUGCUAGGAUGUAAGGGAUUUUCACCUAAUCGUUAUGAACUUAUAUUCACAAGUAGUAAAGGUUGUUGAUCACAAUCGUGUUAAGUAAAUUCUUGGCAUAAGUAUCAUGCGCUUUCAUAGUUACGAGUGCCUCGUCAAUACUUAUGAUUUCUAUUGAAUGUAAUGAUCUUUGAUUGUAUCUUUAUUAUGCGCUUUCAUGUAGGGAGCUUUUGAGGAAUAAUUUGAUUGCGAUGCGCUUUUUUCAUCCAAUUCAUUGACUUAAGGGAAAUCUGAAAAUUAAUUUAAGCGUAUCUAAUUAACUUGGGGUGUUGGGAAUUCAUGGUUUAUUGAGAAGCAAUUGGAAAUCGUUUUGUAUGCAAGUAUGACAUGUGUGGAGAAGAACCCCUUAGCUAGCCUUUUAUCCAUUCACUUUAAUCAGAUUCGUCCAGAUUUCAUUGAGUCUUUAUUUUGUUUGUUUUAUUUUCAAAUUCGUCAAAAUUCAAUCCCCAUUUAUUUUGAAGUGUUAGAUUAGUUAGAAAUCAAUUUAGUUUGUGUUUUUAAGUGUCUUGAGUCAAGUUAUAACCUAUUUUCGUCCAAAUUGUGUUUUGUGUUCAAAACUGCCCAGAAAGUGUUUUUAAGGCAGUUUUGAGUGUUUCUGGGCUGUUUUGAGUCUUUUGGUUUGUUUUAGUGUUUUAGAGUUUAGUUUUGCAUUCUUUGAGUCUAGUUUAGUGUUUUAAACUUUGUUUUUACGUUUUGAGUUAGUUUUCAAGUGAUUUAGCAAUCCCUCCUAAUCCCCAGCCUAGAACGAUCCCUACUUACAUUCCUUACUACAAUUGAUAAAAAGAGGGUUUAAUUUGUGUGCUUAUAUAUUUCGCAUCACUAUUAAAGAGAGUUAUAAACAUGGAUGAAAAUUUGAUUUACUCUUUGGUGUAUGCUUGGUUGUGGUUAUAAUUUAUGAAUUCACAUGCAAUCAUAAAGGAAAAAUCAGUUUUUGUAACAUGCUUGAAGGAAGGAACUCAAAUGAACGCUACAACCUUGUGAGACUUGAGCCUAAAUGUUUAUUUGGAGAGUUAAUAAUCUGUGCAUCAUUGUUUUAUAAAGUUGUUGCAUGAUCUCAUUAUUCUUUGCUUGGUUGCUACUUAGAAGGCGUUUCAUCAUUUAGUUCCAAAUGCUAGAACUCAUGCCUAUUUCAUUCAAAGCAUUUGUAACAUGCUUGAAGGAAGGAACUCAAAUGAACGCUACAACCUUGUGAGACUUGAGCCUAAACGUUUAUUUGGAGAGUUAAUAAUAUGUGCAUCAUUGUUUUCUAACGUCGUUGCAUGAUCUCAUUAUUCUUUGCUUGGUUGCUACUUAGAAGGCGUUUCAUCAUUGAGUUCCAAAUGCUAGAACUCAUGCCUAUUUUAUUCAAAGCAUGCUAUUGAUUUGCAUAACACAUAUUCAAGAUGAAGUUGUGUAGUGACCACCAAAGCCAAAUUGCCGUGCCCCUAUUUCAUUAUGUGUUUAAGUUUAACCCCGUUGAGCCUUGUCAAGCCUAUGUUUUUUGUUAAUCCACACUAUCCUUACCUAGCCUAGUUUUAGAACCAUCCAUACCCUUGUUGUUGAAGCAUAGUAAAGCAUGACUUAAAAUGAACUCCUUUUUUAUCAAUGUAUUGCAGAAAGCAAGUGUGGGGGAAGUGAUUCUUGUGUGUGUGUGUGUGUGUGCCAAAAUCCUUAAUAAGGCACGGGUAGAAAAGAAAAAAAAAAAAAAAAAAGUGAAAAGAAAAAAGUUUGUUAAAAAAGGGUCCAAAACAUUGAAUUCGGCCCUAAGUGUUGCAUGAAUCUUCCCUUUGUAUUUAAAAGUUGAUUCUGCAUUCUAAAGUGAAUUCUAAGUUACUAUUUCAUUGCUUUGCUUGCUAUCGCUUUAAAAACGUUUGUUAUUCCUAUCCCUUCUUUAUUAGCCAUUACCCCCAAGCCAUAUUACAACCCUUGACUUCAAUCUUGAGUAUUGUGUGUUUCAAUUUGUGGAGUUCGAAAUUGGUAUGAGCAUAUGGUGUCACUGGUUCUCGCAUCUAAGUAGUAGCAUUCCAUUCAUGAGAUAAUAUCUAAACAUGCUUAAUAACUCCAGAAAAUUGCUUUCUUUGUUAUAACAUAUGUGAGUCCUAGUCUUUCGUGUUUACAUUAAUCUUCUCACAUAUACUAGUGUAGUCAGAAAAUGUGUGUCAAAAUAGAGUAUCUUGUAAGAAAUUGAGAAAAUUCUCUAAGACAUGUUACUACAUUCAAAACAUCGUUUUAAUUGGUUAAUUGUGAACUAGUAAGUGGUGACUGUGAUUAAGUAUGUGCUCAAGUGUAAAGAUGACCAAAAUCUAUGGAAAUAAUGAUUUUUAACAUGUCAUGUUUCAUUAAAAAUCCCUGAGGCAAAUGUUGGAAGAUCUAGGUUGUGUUUUGUUUGUUUCGUUUGUUUUGUUUUGCUCGAGGACUAGCAAAAGCUAAGUGUGGGGGAAUUUGAUAGGAGCAUAUUUAUGCGACUGAGUUAGCUUGUUCUCAUGCAUUUAUGUUGUUAUUUCUUAGUUAAUUAUGUAUUUUAAGCUAUUUUCGUGUGUUUGUAGGUCCAUAGGCCUUCUUAUAAAUCAAUAAGAUGCAUUUUGGUGCAUUUUGGAGCAGUUUUGGGCUUGGAAUGAAUAGCACAUGCAUGGAGCAAGGUGGAUGGAUGAAAUUGAAGACUAAAGAGGCUAGGAAUGUGUUAAAGAGAAAGAAGAAUUAAUGUAAAAAGGACAAAGAGCUCAGCCACAAAGGGGUGUCACUCUACCAUUCACCUUUCCAUCAUUGUCGUGCACCACCAUUGCACUCCAUUUGGAUUCCUAUGCCGUGCAUCAUCAUCCAUGUUCCCUCCAUUGACUCAUUUGUUGCAUCAUUCCACUUCCCUUCUGAUGCGAAAUAGAUAAGCACACAAAUUAAACCCUCUUUUGUUAACGAAUGUAGUAUGGAUAAGUAGGGAUCGUUCUAAACCGGGGAUUAGGAGGGAUUGCUAAACUCUUGAAAACUAACUCAAUAAUGAAAAAACAAAGUUUAAAACACUAAACUAGACUCAAAGAAUGUAAAAUUAAAAGUUAAAACACCAAAACAAAGCAAAGGAACCAAAACAGCAAAUAAACACUCAAAACUGCCUUAGAAGCACAAUCUGGGCAGUUUUGAGUACUAACACAGAUUUGGACGAAUAUAUGUUAUAACUUGACUCAAAACACUUAAAAACACAAAUCAAAACACUUUCUAACUAAUCUAAGACUUCAAAAUAAAGGGGGAUUUGUUUUGGACGAAAAUUGAAAACAAAACAGAAACUUUAAAACAAAACAGAUUGUAAAACGUUUUGGAUGAAAAGGAUGGAUAAAAGGCUAGUUAGGAGGUUCUUCUCCACACAUGACACAUUUGCAAACAAAACGAUUUUCAAUUGUUCUUCCAAUAAAUUAUGAAACUCAACACCCCAAGUUAAUUAGAUACGCUUAAAUUAACCUUCAAGUUCUCCUUAAGUUAAUGAAUUGGAUGGGAAAGCGCAUACAACAAUUCAAAGCAUUCCUCAAAGGUUCCUUACGUGAUGAGCACAAUAAAGAUACAAUCAAGAAUCAUGAAGCACAAUGAGAACUAUAAGUGUUGACGAGGCAUUCGUUACUAUGAUGAGCAUGAAACUAGUGCCAAGAAUUCAUUCAACGCGAUCGUUUUCAAGCGACCUUCACUACUUAUGAUUAUAAGAUUGUAACUAUUAGGUGAAACGCCCUCAUAAUCUAGCAUCAUAUUCAUGCAUGAAAACUAAGCGUGCACUCUCAAUCAACAUACAUAAAUAAGUUAUCAAUCAAGUAGAUGAACGAAUUGAAUCCACAACUUAUGAAAUAACAACUGAAUGUAAUCAAAUCAUAUUGCAAGCAUGUACAUGGUUUUGAAUCACCCCCCCCCCAACUAAGGGGGUUUAGUUCCUCAUACUCACAACACAAAGUUUAUUGAAUUGAAACAUUGAAAACAUAAGAAAGAUUACACCUAAAAGUUCCAGCAAUCUGCAAUAGACUAGCAAGCACAUUCAAGAGCACUCCUUCUUCCUUCUUGCUGCGGCACAAGGUAUGGAGAUGGUUUAGAUGGGUUUUGGAUGAUGGAUAAUGGUGGGAAGGUGUCUAGGAUGGGUGUAUGGCACGGCUAUGAAGGUUUGGGGUCAGAAAAUAUGGAUUUGGGUGAAGGUUGGGCACGGCAAAGGUAGGGGAAAGGUUUCUGGCGUGAAUGGAUGUGAAUGGGUGUGUGUGGAAUGUUUUUGUGGCUGCAACAAGGAGGUUUAUUUAAAGGAAAACAGAAAUUAAAACCCUAGGUUGAUUAGGAAAUCAGAAAUUAAGUCUAAGGAUUAUAGAAUUAGGAAAUAAAAUCAGAAACUUAAAGGAAACCCACCAAAAGUUGCGGCAAUUACUUAAAACACAAAAGGAAUGUGUUUUAAGUCAGAUUUUGGGAAAGAAACCCUCUCCCUUGCACGGCAAGGAAGAGGAAAGGAUGAGGGAGGUGCGGCAAAGGUCCUAGAGUGGUUUAGGGCCUUUGUUUGGUGUCCCAAAGUGCUUAAAAGGUAUUCAAAGUGGCUGGAAAUUAAGGACAUUUAGGAAUAGGGAAGGUCAACCAAAAUAGGAAACCUUGGCUUAACUUUCCUACUUCAAGUAGGAAUCCUUGUUGGAGUAGGAAUCCUUGUUGGAGUAGGAAUCCUUGUUCAAUUAGGAAUCCUUUGUUGAUUAGGAAUCCUUUGUUGAUUAGGAAUCCUUCUUGGAUUAGGAAACCAACUUUCUUCAAGACUUCAAUUCAUCCAUUCCUUUUGCUCCAAAAGGCUCCAAUUUGCUUCUUUUGCACACUUUGGCCUUAGAACCUGAAAACACACAAAAGUGACUUUAAACACUAAAAUAGCUAAGUAAACACAACUUAAAUGCACGAGAACAAGCCAAUUAAGUAGCAUAAAUAUGCUCUUGUCACCUUCCUUUGUCUACCAUGUGCACAAUAUCCUUUCACCUCCUUGCACUCAUUGAUUCACCACUUACUCACCUUUCCACCUAUGCCAUGCAUAAUCACCCUUGUCCCCUCCAUCAUUUCAGAUUCAUGCAUCGUUACAUUGAAUCAUUCCACUCAUUUGCUACAUCAUUCCUUGUUCCCUCCAUUAUUUCAGAUUUCAUGCAUCAUUACAUUGAAUCAUUGCACUCAAUUGCUACACCAUUCCUUGUUCCCUCCAUCAUUUCAGAUUCAUGCAUCGUCACAUUGAAUCAUUGCACUCAAUUGCUACACCAUUCCUUGUUUCCUCCAUCAUUUUAGAUUUCAUGCAUCAUUGCACUCAAUUGCUACACCACUCCAUGUUCCCCCCCAUUGCCAUGCACUUCCUCUUUAAAAGGAAGUGUGUGUAACAUAAAUUGAGUUCAUACUUUGUUAGAUCAUUCACUCCCAUUUUCAACACAAUCUUCAUCCAAACACAUCCAUUCAUCUUCACAUCCAUUCCUCCAUACAAACAAACCUUCAAACACUCACCAACAUCUUAUGCCGUAGCAAAGGAAGGGAAGGAAAGUGCUUGGACGUGCUUGUUGUCCAACUUGGAUCGUUGGAGCGUUUAGGUGUUUUCUUUAUUUUGUUUCUAAUGUUUAAAUUCAUUUCAUUUCAUUUUGUUGUAAAUAUGAGUGGCUAAACCCAUCUUGGGUAGGGGUGAUUUCAAAGCCAUGAUUAUGUGUGCAAUAUAAUUUGAUAAAUUCCAAUUAUGAACUCUUGAAUCGUGAAUGCAAUUGGCUUAACUAUUUGAUUGAUAACUUAUUUGUAUUUGUUAAUUAAGGGUCGACACUUAAUUGGCAUUCAUAAAUCCGUUGCUAGAAUAUAAAGAAGUUUCACAUAAUCGUUACAAACUUAUAUUCACAUGUAGUGAAGGUCGCUUAUAAACGAUCGCGUUAAGUUCAAUUCCUAGCAUGAGUGACAUGAUGUCAUAGUUGCAAGUGCUUUGUCAAUGCUUAUGAUUUUCAUUAAACGUAAUGAUCUUUGAUUGUAUCUCUAUUAUGAUGUCAUGUAGGGAACUUUUGAAGAAUGUUUUGGAUUGUUUAAUGAUGUCAUCCAAUCCAAUAAAACAAGGAAAAUCUGAGAGUUAAUUAGUGAUGUCACGGUUAAUUUGGAGCAUUGUCAUUCAUAAUUCAAUGAAGUAGUAACUGAAAAUUAUGUUAUUUGCAUACAUGUCAUGUGUGGAGAAAAAACCUCUAGCUAUCCCAUCCAUCAUCUUAUUUCUCAAAUUUGUUUUACAAUCUGUCUAGUUUUUCAUACUUGUUUGUUUGUUUCAACUUCGUCCAAAACUCAAUCCCCCUUUACUUUAGAGUGUCUAAUUAGUUAGAAUCUAUUUUAAUUUGUGUUUUUAAAUGUUUUGAUUCAAGUAAAAGUCAAUUUUCGUCCGAAGUCAUUCCUAGUGUCUAGUUUAAGUUUAUUUAGUUGUUUUAAGCUGUUUUGAGUAUUUUAAAGUUUGCUUUGAGUCUUGUGAGUCUUGUUAAGUAUUUUUAAGUUUAGUUUUAUGUUUUUGAGUCAGUUUAGAGGUUACUAGCAAGCCCUCCUAAUUCCCGGUCCAAAAUGAUCCCUACUUAUACUUAUACUACAGUUGUCAAAAGAGGGUUAAAUUUGUGUGUUAAGUUAAUUUUCGCAUCAAGCUCUUUGUCCUUUUUACAUUAAUUCUUCUUUCUCUUUAACACAUUCCUAGCCUCUUUAGUCUUCAAUUUCGUCCAUCCACCUUGCUCCAUGCAUGUGCUAUUCAUUUCAAGCCCAAAACUGCUCCAAAAUGCACCAAAAUGCAUCUUAUUGAUUUAUAAGGCCUAUGUGCUAUACAUUCGCAUAAGGUGGUGGUCAUUUUCACUUCCCUUAUCUGUUCCCCAGGCAGAUGUGGUAGACGAAGAGGAAGCAUAAGAUGAUGAAGAUGAGUACUCGAGAGCAAGGCUAGGUAAGCAAUCAGGAAGGGGUUUGAUAGGAGCAUAUUUAUGCGACUUAAUUGGCUUGUUCUCGUGCAUUUAUGUUAUGUUUCGUUAGCUAUUUUAGUGUUUAAAGUUACUUUUGUGUGUUUUCAGAUUCUAAAGGCAACGUAUGCAUUUUGGAGCCUUUUGGAGCAAAAUGGAGCUUGGAAUGAUUAUCACAUGCUUGGAGCAAAAGGAAGGAUUCCUAAUCGACGAAGGAUUCCUAAUCAACGAGGGAUUCCUAAUUGAAGAUGGAUUCCUAAUCACAUGAGGAUUCCUAGAAGAACAAGGAUUCCUACUCCAACAAGGAUUCCUACUUGAAGUAGGAAAGUUAAGCCAAGGUUUCCUAUUUUGGUUUGACCUUUCCUAAUUCUAAAAGUCCUUAUGUUCCAGCCACUUUGAAGACUUCAUAUGCAUUCUAGGACACAAAACAAAGGCCCUAGAAACCUUUUGGACAAGUGCCGCACCCCCUUACCCUUUCCUCUUCCUUGCCGUGCAAGGGAGAGGGCUCUUUCCUGAUUUUAGGCAUUAAAACACAUACCUUUUGUGUUUUUAUCUCCUUGCCACAUAUCCCUUGCAAUAUCCUUUAAUUUCUGAUUUGAUUUCCUAUUUCUAGAAGCUUUAGACUUAAUUUCUGUUUACCUAAUUAACCUAGGGUUUUAAUUUCCAAAUCCUUUUAAAUAAACUCAUCCUUGUGCAGCCAAAAACAUCCCCAUUCAUCCAGAAAAUAAUCAUUCACGCCAGAAACUGAACUCCAUCUUCAACAGCCCCAUUCCUUCACCAUUCACCAUAUUUUCUGACCCAAAACCACCCUAGCCGCACCACCCAUCAACCCUAAACACUUCCAUACAUCCUCCAUCCAUUCUACAUCAUCCAAGAACCCAAGAACCUGCCCAUAGUCCCUGUGCCGCAGCAAAUGAGAGGAUGAAGAAGUACUUGGAGAUUCUAGCCGUUCAACAUCGAAUCGUUGGAAUAUUUAGGUGUUCUCUUUCUUAUAUUUACAAUGUAUGAAUCUAUUUUCCUUUGUUUUGUGAAUAUGAGGAACUAAGCCUUUUGGCUAGGGGGUUAUUCAAUACCAUGAUUAUGCUUGCAAGAUGAAUUGAUUACGUCUAAUUGUUAUUUCAUGAAUUGUGAAUGCAAUUUGCUUAACCGUUUGAUUGAUGACUUAUUUUUGUGUGUUAAUUAAGAUGGCCAACUUAGUUUUCAUGCAGGAAUUUGAAGCUAAAACAUAAGGAAGUUUCACCUAAUAGUUACAACUUUAUGUUUGCAAGUAGUGGAGGUCGCUUAUAAACGAUCGCGUUAAGUGAAUUCUUGGCAAACGUUUCAUGCUUUUCAUAGUAACAAUUGCCUCGUCAAUGCUUAUAGUUUUCAUGACGCUUAAUGAUCUUUGAUUGUAUCUUUAUUGUGCUUUUCACGUAAGGAACUUUUAGAGAAUGUAUUGAGUUGUUGCAGUGCAUUCCCAUCCAAUUCACUAACUUUAGGAAAACUUGAAGGUUAAAAAAGUGCUAUCACAGUUAACCUAGGGCAUUGAGAUUCAUAAUUCAUUGAAAGAAACAAUUGGAAAUCAAAGUUGAAUGCAAGUGUAUCAUGUGUGGAGAAGAACCCUCUAGUUGAUCUAUUACCCAUCAAUUUACUUAACUUUGUCUUAAAAUCUGUUUACUUUGUUCUUGCUUUGUUUUAAUUAAUUUCGUCCAAAAUCAAACCCACCUUAUUUCUUUGAGUCAUAUUACUUAGCACUUGUCUUAGAAUAUGUUUUUAGGUGUUUUAGGUCAUUAGGAAACCAAAAUUCGUCCAAGUUGUGUUAGAGUCCCAAAACUGCCCAGAAAGUGGUUUUUAGGCAGUUUUGAGUGUUUGUUUGCUGUUUUGAGUCUUUUGGUUUGUUUUAGUGUUUUAGAUAUUAGUUUUGCAUUCUUUGAGUCUAGUUUAGUAUUUUAAACUUUGUUUUACAGAUUUGAGUCAGUUUAGAGUGUUUUAGCAAUCCCUCUGAUAGGAGCAUAUUUAUGCGCCUUAGUUUAGCUUGUUCUUGUGCAUUUAUAGUGUUUUUCCUUAGUAAAGUAGUCUUUUAAGCUAGUUUCUUGUGUUCUCAGGUUUUAAAGGCAUAUUACAUAAAAAGAAGCAAUUUGGAGCCUUUUGGAGCAAAAUGGAGCUUGGAUUGGAUAUCACAUAUUUGGAGCCAAGGGUUUGGACGAAAAUGAAGAUUUGAAAAUGAUGAUUUCCUAACUUGAGCAAAGGAUUCCUAGUUGAAGUAGGAAAGACCCAAAUUGAAGAUGAAAUCCUAGUCCAAGAAGGUGUCCUAAUCAAUCAAGGAUUCCUAGUUGAAGAUGGAUUCCUAGACGAAUGAAGUUUCCUACUCAAACAAGGUUUCCUAAUCGAAGUAGGAAAGUUAAAUCCAAAUGGCAUCAAGUUUCAGCAACAAAGAAGUUUUCCUUCCUCUCCCUAUUCAGCCGCACCUUGGUGGACCUUUUCCCUUGUGGAUUCUGAUUUCUAAGCCUAAUUCCUUGUGGAUUUGGGUUAUUCAAGUCCAUAUCUGAUUCCCCUAGGGUUUUAAGUGCCUAUAUAUACUUAUAUUAACCCCUAGAUCAGAUUACCACCUCUCAUACAUAACCAUUCACGCCAGAAAUUAAACCUUGAUUUCUGCCGCACCUUUCCACCACCAUAGUCCAUAAUUUCUGCCCAAAAUCAUCCCUAGCCGCACCACCCAUCAACCCUAAACCUUUCCAUACCAUUCCCCAUCCAUUCUACACCACAAAUAACCCCAAAGAACCUGUCCAAAGUCCAAGUGCCGCAGCAAGGAGGAAGGGAGACUCGUGGAUGCACCUGCUGUCCAAAUUGGAUCGUCUAGGUGUUUUCUUUCCUUGGUUUUUAAUGUCUAAAUUUAUGUAUCUUUGCUUUGCGAGUAUGAGGAACUAAACCCCCCUUGGCUAGGGGGGGAUUCGAAAUACAUGUUUAUGCUUGCGAUAUGAUUUGAUUACUUCUAAUUGCGUUUCAUAAGUUGUGAAUUCAAUUUACUUAUCUAUGUGAAUUACAUUGAUUUGUGUGUGUUGGUUGAGAGUGCAUGCUUAAUUAUCAUGCAUAAAUUGAAUGCUAGGAUAUAAGGAAAUUUCACCUAAUCGUUAUGGACUUAUAUUCACAAGUAGUAAAGGUUGAUGAUCUCAAUCGCGUUAAGUAAAUUCUUGGCAUAAGUUUCAUGCAAUCAUAGUAACAAGUGCUUCGUCAAUGCUUAUGGUUUUCAUAGAACUUAAUGAUUCUUGCUUGUAUCUCUAUUAUGCAAUCAUGUAGGGGACUUGUGGGGAAUGCUUUGGGUUGUCGUAUGCAAUCAUCCAAUUCAAUAACGUUAGGAAAAUCUGAAGGUUAAUUUAAGCGGACCUAAUUAACUUUGGGGCGUUGAGAAUUCAUGGGUUAUUGAAAAGCAAUUGGAAAUCGUUUUGAAUGCAAGUAUAACAUGUGUGGAGAUGAACCCCUUAGCUAGCUUACCACCAUCCAUCAUUUAAACCAAAUUCGUUUAAAAAUUUUUUUUGAUUUACAAGUUUAUAUUUUGUUUUCAAUUUCGUAAAAACCAAAUCCCCCUUGGUUUUCAAGUGUCAAAUUAGUUAGAAAGUGUGUUAGUUUGUGUUUUUAAGUGUUUUGAGUCAAGUUAAAACCUAUUUUCGUCAAAAUCUUGUUUAGAGUUCAAAACUGCCCAGAAAGUGGUUUUAAGGCAGUUUUGAGUGUUUUUGUGUUAUUUUGAGUCUUUUAGUUUGUUUUGGUGCUUUAAGUUAUAGUUUUACAUUCUUUGAGUCUAGUUAGUGUUUUAAACUUGUUUUUACGUUUUUGAGUCAAUUCCAAGUGAUUUUGCAAUCCCUCCUAAGCCCCGGCCUAGAACGAUCCCUACUUACAUAUUUUGCUACAAUUGAUAAAAAGAGGGUUUAAUUUGAGUGCUAGUUAAUUUUCACACCAAAUUUUUGGCGCCGUUGCCGGGGAUUAGCAACUUUGCUAAUCCCUUGGAUUGUUAUUUUCGUUUUUUUAUUAGAUCAGAUUCUUAUGUUAUUUUGUUUCUUGUUUUAGGUAAUUGUUUAUGACUCGGAGUUCUAAUCCGGUUCACGAACAUAUUUUAGACGUUGACGACGAUUUUGAGCGUGAGUUGAGACGAAAGAGGAAGAACCCGGAACCUAGUGAAUCAAGUGCAAGUUCCGAGUCCGUUUCUGAAUUUGAAGAGGAAGUGGAAGACAGGGCAGCGGACAACCGAACGAUCAAGGUGCUUUCCGCUUCGGGAUUGGAUAAUGCCGCACCUCUAUGUAUCCAAUACCCUAGGGCGGCUCCGGACAAAACUGCCGAGUUCGAAUUGAAGUCAAGCUUGUUACAUCACAUUCUGAAGUACCAUGGGCUGUCCAUGGAAGAUCCGAACAAGCACUUGAAGGAGUUUGAAGUCGUUUGCUCAAGCAUGACUCCGGUGAACGUGGAUGAGAGCAUCUUUAAGAUGAAGGCCUUUCCCUUUUCUCUCCUAGAGAAGGCGAAAGAUUGGUUGUACAAAUUGGCUCCCGGAACUGUCACAUCAUGGGAGAGCAUGAAACGAGCUUUCUUAGAGAAGUUUUUCCCAACUUCUCGAGUCAUCCUCCUAUGCAAAAGGAUACGUGGCAUUCAACAAGAUGAAGGUGAAUCCUUUCCUACUUAUUAUGAAUGUUUUAAAUCUCUUGUUGCUUCAUGUCCACAACAUCAAAUGAAGGAGGAACUACUUCUACAAUACUUCUACGAGGGACUUCUACCAAUUGAACGUCAAAUGCUAGAUGCCUCAGCGGGAGGAGCAUUGGUGAUGCGAAAUAGAUAAGCACACAAAUUAAACCCUCUUUUUGUCAAAUUGUAGCAAAGAUGUAAGGAGGAAUAGUUCUAGACCGGGGAUUAGGAGGGAUUGCUAAACACUUGGAAACUGACUUAAAAACUCAAAAACAAAGUUUAAAACACUAAACUAGACUCAAAGAAUGCAAAACUAAAGGUUAAAACACUUAAACAAACCUAAAACUCAAAACAGCAACCUAAUGACUCAAAACUGCCUAAAAACCACUUUCUGGGCAGUUUUGAGAACCUAACAAGAACUUGGACGAAAUUGGGUGAAAACUUGAAUCAAAACACUUAGAAACACAAAUCAAAACACUUUCUAACUAAUCUAAGACUUCAAAAUAAAGGGGGAUUUGUUUUGGACGAAAAUUGAAAACAAAACAGAAACUUAAAACUAAACAGAUUGUAAAACGUUUUUUGGAUGAAAAGGAUGGAUAAAAGGCUAGUUAGGAGGUUCUUCUCCACACAUGUCACACUUGCAAACGAAACGAUUUUCAGUUGUUCUUCCAAUAAAUUAUAAAUACUCAACGCCUCAAAUUAACCGUGAAUUGCACUAAUUAACCCUCAGUUUUUCCACAAGUUAUUAGGUUGGAUGAUUGCAUACGACAACCCAAAACAUUCCCUACACGUUCCCUACAUGAAUUGCAUAAUAGAGAUACAAGCAAGAAUCAUUACGUUCUAUGAAAAACAUAGCAUUGACGAAGCAUUUGUUACUAUGAAUUGCAUGAAACUUAUGCUAAGAAUUCAUUCAACGCGAUCGUUUUCAAGCGACCUUCACUACUUGCGAUUAUAAGAUUGUAACUAUUAGGUGAAACUCCCUCAUAAUCUAGCAUCAUAUUCAUGCAUGAAAACUAAGCGUGCACUCUCAAUCAACAUACACAAAUAAGUUAUCAAUCAAAUAGAUGAACGAAUUGAAUCCACAACUUAUGAAAUAACAACUGAAUGUAAUCAAAUCAUAUUGCAAGCAUGUACAUGGUUUCGAAUUACCCCCCAACUAAGGGGGUUUAGUUUCUCAUACUCACAACACAAAGUUUAUUGAAUUGAAACAUCGAAGACAUAAGAAAGAUUACACCUAAAACGCCCAACAAUUCCACUUUGAAUUUCUGCACGUCAAGCUCCUCUUUCGUCUUCUCCUUGCUGAGGCAGAGAGGGUUUAGGGGAUUUUUGGAUGUGAUUUUGGUUUUAGAAGGGAGUUAGGUGAUGUGAAAAUUAACUUGACACACAAAUUAAACCCUAUGGAUGACAAUUGUAGUAUAUGAGCAAAUAGGGAUCGUUCUAACCGGGGAUUAACUAGGGAUGCUAAUCAAUGUAAAUCUGACUCAAGAACAUAAAAAUAUAAUGUAGAACACUAAACUAGACUCAAUUAAUGCAAAACUAGGGUUUAAACACCUAAACAAACUAAAACUCAAAACAACAACUAAAAGGCUCAAAACUGCCUUAAAACCACUUUCUGGGCAGUUUUGAGUACCUACACUAGUUUGGACGAAUUUGGACUAUGACUUGACUCAAAACACUUAAAAACACAACUAAAUGGAUUUCUAACUAAUCUAACACUUUAAAAUAAAUGGGGGAAUGAUUUUGACGAAAUUAAAACUUUAAAACUCAAACUUUAAAAACAAAUGUAAAGCAAAAUAGAUUGUGAUUAAAUAGAAUGGUGAGAAGCUAGUUAGAGGGUUCCCUUAUCCACACAUGAACAUAUGCAUACAACUCGAUCUCCAAUUACUCUUUCAACAAACCAUGAAUGACAAUGCCCCAAAUUAACUAGAUUGCACCAAUUAAUUCUCAGAUUUCCCUAGAUUCAUUGAAUUGAACGGAAUACGCAUUACAACCAAAUUAUUCUUAUCAAGGACCCUAACUAUGGAAUACGCAUGAUAGAGACACAUAUCAAAGAUCAUUAAGUUUAAUGGAAAUCAUAAGCAUUGACGAGGCAUUCAUAACUAUGGGAUACGCAUGUUACUCUUGCCUAGGAUUUACUUAACACAAUCGUGACUAGCGACUUUCACUACUUAUGAAUACAAGUUAAUAACGAUUAGGUGAAAUUCCCUUAUAUCCUAGCAUCGAGUUUUAGGCAUGCAAAUUAAGUGUCGACCCUCAACCCACAUACAUAAACAAGUUAUCAAUCAAAUAGAUAAGUAAAUCACAUUCACAAUUUCUGAAAUCAUAAUUGGAAGAAAUCAAAUCAUAUAAAACAUAUGUCCAUGGCUUUCAAAUUCACCUCUAACUAAAAAGAAAUUAGUUCCACAUGUCUAACAUAAUUGAACAACAAUUUAAAUUAACAUGAAAAACAGAAAACAAAGAAAGAAAGAACUCCAAACAUUCCACUAAUGGCAGAUUGCAUGUGCAAGGUGUCUUCCUCCUUUGGACUGUACGUCACUCCUUCUUUCUCCUCCUUUGGUGGCUGCACAAGGUGGUGAUGGUGGUGGGAAGGCACGGCUGUGGUGGAUGGAUGAUUAUGGAAGAGGGUAGAAGGGUUAAAAGGACUAGGGAGGCACGGCAAGGACUUAGAACUAGGGAGAAUGAAGGGGUUGGUUGCGGCAAGGGUUUAGAAUGAAUUUCUGGAGUGAAUGGAUGAUAUGGGAGGUGGUGUCUUCGGCCAAGAGGUUUAAAAGAAUAUAUAUAGGCACUUAAAAACCCUAGCAAUCAGAUUAGGGUUUCUAGAAACCCAAAUCCACCAGAAAAUAGGUUAAAACAAUCAGAAUUUGCAAGGGAAAAGGCCUAGGGUUCGGCUGAUUUAGUGGGCUAGGGUUUAGGCUUCUAGAAUGCCUUGCAAGGCAUGGAAAUCAGAUAUCUUGGGGCCUAGGUGCGGCAUUAAGUGAGGAUCCAAGAUGAAUUGGGCUAGGAAGGUGCAGCCUUGUCCACGAGGUAAGGAUGGGUCAUCUAGAAGCCCAAAGCCAAGAAUAGAAAACUCUCAAAAUGGAAACCUCCGAGAAUAGAAACUUCCAACUUUAGAAACUUUGGUUUCUAAUUCUGAAUUCUUUGUUCUUCACUUUCAUUUCUUCAUUUCUUAAGCUCCCUUGACCUUCAAACUCGUCCAUUCCUUGUGCUCCAAGCAUGUACUUUUCAAUCCAAGCUCACUUUUGCUCUAAAAUGCUCCAUUUUGCCAUCUUUUAUGUAUUAUGCCCCUGUGAACCUGAAAACACAUGAAAGUAGCUCAAAAGACUACUCUAACGAAGAAAACAUAACGAAAAUGCAUAAGAACUAGCUAACUAAGGCGCAUAAAUAUGCUCCUAUCAUUAGGAUGGUAUGGUGGUGCGGCAAGGGGUAUGGAUGGUGUAUGGAGGUGUAGAAUGGUGGCUGGAAGUGUAGAAUGGUUGCGGCAAGGAGUGGGGAGUGGCUGGUUUGAUGGAGAAGUGGCGGCUAAGAGGUAUUAGGGUGAUGGUGGCUGCAGCAAGGUGGGGAAAUAGGGUUGGAUGAAUUUCUGAAUUGUGUGUGUAUGAUCCCCCCGGCAAAGUGUGUGGAAAUAUAUAUAUAGGCACUUAAAAACCCUAGCAAAUCAGAUUAGGGUUUUUAGAAACCCAAAUCCACCAGAAAAAUAGGUUAAACAAUCAGAAUUUUAGUGAGAAAAGGGCCUAGGGUGCGGCAAUUAAGUGGGCUAGGGUUAGGGCUUCUAGAAAGCCUUGCAAGGCAAGGAAAUAGGUGUUCUAGAAGGGGAAAGGUGCGGCUGGAUAGUGGGAAUGUGGAUAGGGCUUCUAAAAAGCCCAAAACCAAGAGAAUCUAAGCCCUAACCCACGGCAAGGAUGAGAAAAUAUUCUAACACCUUUCUUUGUGUCUUCCAACGCUUCGGAACCUUCUAAUGUUGCUCAAACGCAAGGCCAUUCCGGUUUAGGAAAGAUCAACCCAAAAUGGAAACUUUUAGGCUUAGCUUUCCUACUUCAAGUAGGAAACCUCAAAUCUUCAAUUCUUCAAUUUCAUCCCAACCUUGUGUUCCAAGCAUGUCCUUUUCAAUCCAAGCUCACUUUUUUGCUCCAAAAGCUCCAAAUUGCAUCAUUUCAUGUAAUAUGUCCUUUAAACCUGAAAACACAUGAAAGUAGCUUAAAAGACUACUUUACGAAGAAAACAUAACGAAAAUGCAUAAAAACUAGCUAACUAAGGCGCAUAAAUCUGCUCCUAUCAAAUUCCCCCACACUUAGCUUUUGCUAGUCCUCGAGCAAAACAAACAAAAGAAAGACAAAAUGAAACAAAACAAACAAAACACAACCUAAACCUUCCAACAUUUGCCUCAGGGAUUUCCAAUGCACAUGACGUAUUAAAGAUUGUUAUCCCCACAGAUUUGAGUCAUCUUUACACAAGCACAUACUUAAUUAAAGCCACUACUCACUAGUUCACAAGUAAUCAAUUAAAACAAUGCUUUGAAUGUAGUAACAUGCCUUAGAGAAUUCCCUCAAUUCCUUACAAGAUAUACACUCUAUUUUCACUCAAAUUUUCUAACUCCACACCCUACAAUAGUCAUAUGUGAGAAGGUUGAUGUAGAUAUGAAAACGAAUGCUCACAUAUAUGUUUCACAAAGAACGCAAUUUCUAGAGUUAAGAAGCAUGUUUAGAUAUGAUCUCAUGAAUGGAAUGCUACUACUUAGAUGCGAGAACCAGUGACACCAUAUGCUCAUACCAAAAUUUCAAACUCCACAAAUUGAAACACAUAGCACUCAAGAUAGAAGUUAAGGGUUGUAAUGGGGCUUGGGGUGUUGGUUAACAAGGAAAGGAUAGGGAAAACAAACGUUCUUCAAGCAAUAGUAAGCAAAGCACUGAAAUUGAGACUUAGAAUUCACUUAGAUUGCAGAAAUUAACUUUAAAACACAAGGGGAAGACUUAAACAACUCUUAGGGCCGAAUUCAUUGUUUUGACCCUUACUUCAACAAACAAUACUUUGGAACUCUUUUUCUCAACUUUUCAACUCUUUUUUUCAAACUUUUCAUAUUUUUUUUUCUUCAAUUUUUCUUUUUCCACGAAAUUUUUUUUUCUUUUCUUUUCUUUGCCGUGCCUAUGGCACACAAUUCCUCAUGAAAAACACUUCCCCCACACUUAUUUUCUGCUAACAUAGAUCAAAACGAAUUCAAUUCGAAUCAUGCUUUACUAUGCUUUAAGAACAAGGGUAUGGAUAGUC